AAAUUGAAGAGUUUGAUCAUGGCUCAGAUUGAACGCUGGCGGCAGGCCUAACACAUGCAAGUCGAACGGUAACAGGAAGCAGCUUGCUGCUUCGCUGACGAGUGGCGGACGGGUGAGUAAUGUCUGGGAAACUGCCUGAUGGAGGGGGAUAACUACUGGAAACGGUGGCUAAUACCGCAUAACGUCGCAAGACCAAAGAGGGGGACCUUCGGGCCUCUUGCCAUCAGAUGUGCCCAGAUGGGAUUAGCUAGUUGGUGAGGUAACGGCUCACCAAGGCGACGAUCCCUAGCUGGUCUGAGAGGAUGACCAGCCACACUGGAACUGAGACACGGUCCAGACUCCUACGGGAGGCAGCAGUGGGGAAUAUUGCACAAUGGGCGCAAGCCUGAUGCAGCCAUGCCGCGUGUAUGAAGAAGGCCUUCGGGUUGUAAAGUACUUUCAGCAGGGAGGAAGGUGUUGUGGUUAAUAACCGCAGCAAUUGACGUUACCCGCAGAAGAAGCACCGGCUAACUCCGUGCCAGCAGCCGCGGUAAUACGGAGGGUGCAAGCGUUAAUCGGAAUUACUGGGCGUAAAGCGCACGCAGGCGGUCUGUCAAGUCGGAUGUGAAAUCCCCGGGCUCAACCUGGGAACUGCAUUCGAAACUGGCAGGCUUGAGUCUUGUAGAGGGGGGUAGAAUUCCAGGUGUAGCGGUGAAAUGCGUAGAGAUCUGGAGGAAUACCGGUGGCGAAGGCGGCCCCCUGGACAAAGACUGACGCUCAGGUGCGAAAGCGUGGGGAGCAAACAGGAUUAGAUACCCUGGUAGUCCACGCCGUAAACGAUGUCUACUUGGAGGUUGUGCCCUUGAGGCGUGGCUUCCGGAGCUAACGCGUUAAGUAGACCGCCUGGGGAGUACGGCCGCAAGGUUAAAACUCAAAUGAAUUGACGGGGGCCCGCACAAGCGGUGGAGCAUGUGGUUUAAUUCGAUGCAACGCGAAGAACCUUACCUGGUCUUGACAUCCACAGAACUUUCCAGAGAUGGAUUGGUGCCUUCGGGAACUGUGAGACAGGUGCUGCAUGGCUGUCGUCAGCUCGUGUUGUGAAAUGUUGGGUUAAGUCCCGCAACGAGCGCAACCCUUAUCCUUUGUUGCCAGCGAUUAGGUCGGGAACUCAAAGGAGACUGCCAGUGAUAAACUGGAGGAAGGUGGGGAUGACGUCAAGUCAUCAUGGCCCUUACGACCAGGGCUACACACGUGCUACAAUGGCGCAUACAAAGAGAAGCGACCUCGCGAGAGCAAGCGGACCUCAUAAAGUGCGUCGUAGUCCGGAUUGGAGUCUGCAACUCGACUCCAUGAAGUCGGAAUCGCUAGUAAUCGUGGAUCAGAAUGCCACGGUGAAUACGUUCCCGGGCCUUGUACACACCGCCCGUCACACCAUGGGAGUGGGUUGCAAAAGAAGUAGGUAGCUUAACCUUCGGGAGGGCGCUUACCACUUUGUGAUUCAUGACUGGGGUGAAGUCGUAACAAGGUAACCGUAGGGGAACCUGCGGUUGGAUCACCUCCUUACCUUAAAGAA
rnacentral:rRNA from 1 species